UUACCGGUCGAGAGAGCCCCUCCUUGUGUCGUAGAUUCCUCUCCCUCCAAAGGUGCCAUAUAAACGUUGCAAGUGCAUUCCAAUGUAGCCCCCAGCAUGGUGCUGACUUUACUGAAUUUGGAUAUCCCCUCCAUGAUAUCACCCACCCUUAUAUCUCCUAGCUUUAUUUCUGUGAUACCCAUAAGUUUUCAUAGUGCAUAAUCUGUCAA
rnacentral:lncRNA from 1 species